rnacentral:rRNA from 1 species
AGCAUAUCAAUAAGCGGAGGAAAAGAAACCAACAGGGAUUGCCUUAGUAACGGCGAGUGAAGCGGCAACAGCUCAAAUUUGAAAUCUGGCCCCCUCGGGGUCCGAGUUGUAAUUUGUAGAGGAUGCUUCGGCGAGGGCUCCCGUCUAAGUUCCUUGGAACAGGACGUCGUAGAGGGUGAGAAUCCCGUAUGCGAUGGGUUGCCCGAGCCAUGUGAAGCUCCUUCGACGAGUCGAGUUGUUUGGGAAUGCAGCUCUAAAUGGGAGGUAAAUUUCUUCUAAAGCUAAAUACCGGCCAGAGACCGAUAGCGCACAAGUAGAGUGAUCGAAAGAUGAAAAGCACUUUGGAAAGAGAGUUAAAAAGUACGUGAAAUUGUUGAAAGGGAAGCGCUUGCAGCCAGACUCGUCCGCAGUUGCUCAGCCGGUCUCCUGACCGGUGUACUCUUCUGCGGCCGGGCCAGCAUCAGUUCGGGCGGUCGGAUAAAGGUCCCGGGAAUGUAGCUCCUCUCGGGGAGUGUUAUAGCCCGGGGCGGAAUGCGGCCAGCCCGGACUGAGGAUCUCGCUUCGGCUAGGAUGCUGGCGUAAUGGCUGUAAGCGGCCCGUCUUGAAACACGGACCAAGGAGUCUAACAUCUACGCGAGUGUUUGGGUGUCAAACCCAAGCGCGUAAUUAAAGUGAACGGAGGUGGGAACCCCUCGCGGGGCGCACCAUCGACCGAUCCUGAUGUCUUCGGAUGGAUUUGAGUAAGAGCGUAGCUGUUGGGACCCGAAAGAUGGUGAACUAUGCCUGAAUAGGGUGAAGCCAGAGGAAACUCUGGUGGAGGCUCGCAGCGGUUCUGACGUGCAAAUCGAUCGUCAAAUUUGGGUAUAGGGGCGAAAGACUAAUCGAACCAUC